rnacentral:rRNA from 1 species
UUCUGACGUGCAAAUCGAUCGUGUGAUCUUGGUAUAGGGGCGAAAGACUAAUCGAACCAUCUAGUAGCUGGUUCCUUCUGAAGUUUCCCUCAGGAUAGCAGACAAUAUACAGUUUUACUGGUUAGAGCUAAUGAUUAAGGGAUGGGGGACAUUUUGUUUUCCACCUAUUCUCAAACUUCGAAUCGGUAAUGAUGAUGAUGGCACUAUAAUAUUAUCGAUCUAAUGUGUUUGUCUAGUGGGCCUUUUUUGGUAAGCAGAACUGGCGAUGUGGGAUGAACCAAUAGUCUUGUUUAAGCGUCAUAAUUGAGCUCAUGAGUAACCAUGAAAGGUGUUGAUCGAUAUAGACAGCAGGACAGUGGCCAUGGAAGUCGGAAUCUGCAAAGGAGUGUGUAACAACUUACCUGCCGAAUCAAUCAGCCCUGAAAAAGGAUGACACUCGAGCUCGUAGCUCAGACAUGACUGUAAUGAGCACAUGAUGAAAUAUGUAACUCAUUGCAAGUAAGAGGGCGUGUUAGUCGCGCAGAGCUGUGUUCGUGAGUUCACAGGGAGCGGCAAACAGUGCUGAUCUUGGUGGUAGUAGCAAUUCUUCAAGUGAGAUCCUUGAGAGCCAACGUGGAGAUCGGGUUCCAUGUGAACAGUGUUUGUACGUGGGUAAAUCACUCCUAAGCAGGAUGCGAAAGCAUCUCCAGUGUCGAAGACAGUCUGCAAAAGGGAAUUGCGUUAAAAUUCUCAAAUACCGAUCUAUUAAGUUAAUGGUGACAUUGAAUACUUCGGUAAUAGUUCCAUGUUGUUGAAUGAGAGUUUUCUUUUCUCUUUGACAAAGAAAGCACCGUGGAAAGGUAUUGGACCACGAAACGGUUCAAAUUCUGACAGAAAAUGGCGGCAUUUGCUGUGUUUCAUGCAUCAAUGGAAUUCCUUGAAAAUCCGAGGUAAACAGAUGAUCGAUGGUGUACCAAUAACCGCAUCAGGUUUUCCC